GGCAGGAUAGCCAAGCGGUUAAGGCAAGUGGUUCAUACCCGCUCAUUCGAGGGUUCGAUUCCCUCUCCUGCUACCA
rnacentral:tRNA from 1 species